AAACAGCCCACUCCUGCACUUUAGCAACUCUCCACCUUUCUAAGAGGAUACCUCUGUCAUCUAUUAUUUUCCAACUGACUUGCUCUAAAGUCCAUCCAGAGAGUUAAGAGGUACAGAGGGAGGAAACACAAGCACAGGAGCUAUCACUAGGAAGUUUAUGGAACUCAAUUGCACCUGGAUGAAAUCCUGUACCAUUAUGUUAAUCCCUUAAUUGAAAGUCAUAGCCAGAUGAGAAAAAUGAAACAGGAGACAGGCUUGGUCUAUUAGGAACUGGAUUGGUACUCCGAGAAUUUGAAACAAGAAUGCACUACCUCCCUAUGGAAUGAAGCUUCAGGUGCCUCCAAACCCACGCCUGAGAAGAGAAUGCACACAAUCAUUUGAAUAUUACUGGUUACCCCAUUCCUAACAAGAGAAAUCUUCCAUCUUUUCUGAAGAGAUGCUUUGCCAUUAUGUCCUGGAUUGGGUUGUAGUAGUUGGCCUUGUGAUUCCUGCAUUGGCAUCAUAACUGCACAGGUUCUCUAUUACUUACGACUCCCUAGGAGCUGAACAAUGAUAACAGUGAAUCCAUGAAGCCAUCUAUACCAGGCAGUUAGCCUGGAAAGACAAUGUAAAUUCACCGUUGAUCUGUAUGUACCAGUUAAACCUUCUGUUAAAUCGAGGAAGUGAAGUGCUUGUGGUGCUUGUUUUCCUUCAUUGCCUUCUAGGACAUCAACAUGUGAUGACUGCAAGAUGAAGAACAGACCUCUGACAUGACUACUGGCCUCAGAGCAGCAGAGUGGCGUGGUGGGCCUGCAAGCUGCAGGGCUUUCACUGUCUUUUCCCCCUUUCACCUUCUCAAUUUCUAUUUAAAAGUUGCAUGGGAUUUUUUAAAGAAGUGCCCAAAUUAAUUAGCGCAAAUCACGACACAAAUCAUCUGACCCAGUCAAAUGCCUAAGUGAAAUGGUGUAUUUUUACAAAUUAACCAUAUUUAGAUGCUAUUUUGAAGACCCAGGCAGCACACACACUGAGUAGUUAGGACACGCAAUUUUCUGCAUUUAUUUUACUGUUUACCAGCCAGCCCAAAUUGGUGGAAGACUGACAUUUCUUCCCAGUGCCUUGUGACAGUUUAUGUUCAUCAGCAGUAGGUUUUAAGUGGGUAUCAGUAUCGAAACAGUCAAUCAGUAUCGUCAGUAAGUGAUGGCUUUACUGCAACUUGUCCAGGCAGAGAGACUAAGACCGUGGGAAUACAUUGAACUGCUUAGCCCUUAUCUCUUAAGUACCCAGCAUAGCUUGAGGGCUGGGCCAUGAUGGCAGCCCAGAAUUUGGGGGUUGAUAGCAAUAGCUGUGUUUCAAAAGCUCGUACCUCCUGGCUGGGCUAACGGUGCUGUGGGGGGCUCGGUGGCCUUACCCACAGCAGGCCAGGACUGAAGCUGGGAGCACGAUGGUGUGCCCAGCUCUGCUGCCACACCAGCGGUGAGCAAGAACAACUUGAUCAAAAGAGGCAAUGACAUUUAUAAGGAAGAAAAGAAAAAAAAAAAAGUCAUGUACCUGGACAGUAAAACUGCAGAUGGCAGUGACAUUUAAGGGAAGACAUGAACUAUGUCUUUCAAAACCUGAUAGUCAUUUGUAUAUGUAGGCAGGUCUGGCAAAGCAAGUAAACGUUGAGACUACAUGAAAACUACUUGUGAUUAAACUGAUAUUCCAGGCAAAAUCUACAGGGAAACAGACACUUUUUUGAUUCAGAGGCUGCUAACAGCACAUGACUCUGGAACAAUUUAUGAAGUAAGAAUUAAAUAAAAAAGUGUCUGGACAAAGGAACCCCUAAAGCCUGCCACUCAUAGAAUUAAUAGAGUAGGGCCUCAGGCAAAGACAAAGCAGAGGACAAUUACUUCAGAUUUAAUAGGUAGUGUUUGCAGCUGUACAAUACAUUUGAUAACACUGUAUUGCUUGUUCUAGUUUCUGAAAAGUUUAGAACUCAGGAAUAAAAUACAAAUGGUUAUAAAGAUGAGUAAUAUUGAAGUGAAAAGCUGUAAGUCAGCUGCAAGAUCAGCUUGUAGUCACAGAGAUGCACUUGUUUUCUGGCAUACAUGUCAUUUGCAGUGUUGUUUGUCUGGCAUUGGUUCCCAGCGGAUUGAAGAAACUAAUGUUUGAGUAACAGAAUAUAGGAUUUUAAAAAUGGUCCUUGUAGUAACUGAACAAAUAAGUGAAUGCUGUGAGCAGCAUGACUUCAUCCUUUUGCACCAUUGUAAAAAAUAUUUCUCUAAAAUAAACUAUAAAUGCAAUAACACGAUGUGGGCAACAUGAACCACAAGACCAUUUGAAAAUCUAUCACAUUGAUUUUAGUAUCUUUUUGAACAUAUAUAUGUUUAACUAGACAAUAGAAUUAUCCAAAGUGCUACUAUAGUGUCACGGUCUUGUACAAAUUGUGCUCAUCAGAGUUUGAAUUUAGAGGUGAAAUGAGAGUGGAGGAGAAGGGAAAUUCCAGCCUGUGUUACAAAGUGCAUAGGCAAGCUAUUUUGAGGAAUUGCCUCAUACAUCUUUGACACAUGG